UCGAUCUUCAAGAGGUAAGGGCCGAUCUUGAACUCAUUCCAUGUUUUAAGUAAGUUUUAUGAAGAUCUAUGGGGUAGAAUGCAUGUUUAGCUUAUAGUUAGGGUUAUGAGUUUAUGUUGUGUUUUUGAACAAUGUGGCUUGCCAAUGCAUGUUUGAUGUGUUGUAGAUGGGGUUUAAGAUAGUUUGAAGCCCCUAGGAGCUUGUAUGCUUGAGUAUGUGUGUUGUAGAAUAGGAUUAUGCAUGUUUAGAAGGUUUGGGAGGCAUUGGAGGCAAGAGGAGCCAAGUUUCUACCCUUUGGCAGAAACCAGGUUCGGCAGCCGAAGGACUUUCGGCCGCCGAACAUGGCUGGUGAGGCA
rnacentral:lncRNA from 1 species